AGAAUAUGACACUUUUUCAUUUUCUGACAAGUGAGCACAGAUAUGGUCAUUUUCAGAAAUUCUUAGAAUGUUUGGGAAUUACGUACACUAAGGCAUUUGUGAAAAUUCUAUAGCAAUAUAGAGUGGGAAGUCGGCCAUGUGUUUGGACAGUUAAUAGACACUGCAGUAAAUAAAACCGAAUAAAAACAUCUGUCUCGUCCAGGACCGGAGUGUCUCGUCCAGGACCGGAGUCUACACAGACUGUUAAGCCAUAGCCAAUCAGAGCUGAUGUGUGGUGAGCGUUGGUCACCGUGUAUCACCCAGGUAUGUGACACAGAUUGGUGGUGGAUGAGUGUAGAUGUACAAGUGUAAUCAGUGGUGGUGUAGCAGGAUGAUUGGAAUGCAGUGAAUCAAGAGGUUGUGAUUUCAAAU
rnacentral:lncRNA from 1 species